CCAGUCCUGUUUGCCUUCGGAACAAGAUGGAGAGUUCUCAGUAUCUCCAGUGCCGAGCUUCCCACCAUGAUGAUAAUGGACUGAACCCUGUGAGCCUGGCAACUGUCAAGGUGUGAGGAGAAUUUAUGGAAGUCUGGUUUCUGCUUCUUCCAUGUGGGUCCUGGAGACUGAAGUCAGGUGUCACAGUCCAAGAGUCGCUUUGUUGUUUUGUAGUCAGACAACCGGCCGGGGCUGCAAAUGUCUGAUGCAAGACUGGAAUUGGAGGACUCACCUCUAAGAUGGCAGACACAGACAGCGGUUGCCAUGACAACCCACAUUCCUUCUGGUCCUCUCUCUAGACCUUGAGUGUCCUCAGACUGUGACAGCUGAUUCACAUGAACCCAGUGGCCCAAGAAAGAAAGAGACUGAGAUUAGAAGUCAUUCUCUUUUUUUUUUAUAACUUCCUCUCCAGGGUUGGGAUCUAACUCAGAAGGUAGAGAGCUUGCCUAGAAUGUCUGAAGCCCUGGGUUGAAUGCUAACAUCCCUGAAUCUUGGCAUGGCGGAGCACACCUGUCAUCCAGCAGGUAUGAAGUGGAGGCAGAAGGAUCAGAAGGUUCAAGGUCAUCUUUGGCUACAUGGAGUCUGAGGCCAGUCUGUGAUACAGGAAACCCUAUCUCAAAACAAAACAAAACAAACUGUUGGGGUAACCUUUUCUUCACAUUGUAUGAAGGUGUGUCUGUGUUUUCAAUUGUUAAUUCUGUACUAGCGGAGAGCUAAAUGCCGGCAGCAGAAUAUUCAUAUUACAAGCCUUGUAUUUUGUAAAUAUUCGUCCUUCCUCACUUGCCUAAAGGCAAUCUAGAAUUACAUCAGAGGUUCUGAUUGGUUGUAAUAAAGAUCUGGCAGCCAAUAGCUGGA